AUACGGAGGGUGCAAGCGUUGUUCGGAAUCACUGGGCGUAAAGGGCGCGCAGGCGGUUUGGUAAGUCAGAUGUGAAAGCCCACGGCUCAACCGUGGAAGUGCAUUUGAAACUGCCAGACUUGAGUACCAGAGGGGAAAGUGGAAUUCCCGGUGUAGAGGUGAAAUUCGUAGAUAUCGGGAGGAAUACCGGUGGCGAAGGCGACUUUCUGGCUGGAUACUGACGCUGAGGCGCGAAAGCGUGGGGAGCAAACAGGAUUAGAAACCCCAGUAGUCC
rnacentral:rRNA from 1 species